rnacentral:rRNA from 1 species
GUAGGGAAUCUUCGGCAAUGGACGAAAGUCUGACCGAGCAACGCCGCGUGAGUGAAGAAGGUUUUCGGAUCGUAAAACUCUGUUGUUAGAGAAGAACGUUGUGUAGAGUGGAAAAUUACACAAGUGACGGUAUCUAACCAGAAAGGGACGGCUAACUACGUGCCAGCAGCCGCGGUAAUACGUAGGUCCCGAGCGUUGUCCGGAUUUAUUGGGCGUAAAGCGAGCGCAGGUGGUUUAAUAAGUCUGAUGUAAAAGGCAGUGGCUCAACCAUUGUGUGCAUUGGAAACUGUUAGACUUGAGUGCAGUAGAGGAGAGUGGAAUUCCAUGUGUAGCGGUGAAAUGCGUAGAUAUAUGGAGGAACACCGGUGGCGAAAGCGGCUCUCUGGACUGUAACUGACACUGAGGCUCGAAAGCGUGGGUAGCAAACAGGAUUAGAUACCCCAGUAGUCC